UACGUAGGGUGCGAGCGUUGUCCGGAUUUAUUGGGCGUAAAGAGCUCGUAGGCGGCUCGUCGCGUCGACCGUGAAAACUUGGGGCUUAACCCUAAGCUUGCGGUUGAUACGGGCGGGCUAGAGUUCGGUAGGGGAGACUGGAAUUCCUGGUGUAGCGGUGAAAUGCGCAGAUAUCAGGAGGAACACCGGUGGCGAAGGCGGCCUUCUGGUCCAGUACUGACACUCAAGUGCGAAAGCGUGGGGAGCAAACAGG
rnacentral:rRNA from 1 species